rnacentral:rRNA from 1 species
UCUGGUGACUAUAGCAAGGAGGUCACACCUGUUCCCAUGCCGAACACAGAAGUUAAGCUCCUUAGCGUCGAUGGUAGUCGAGCUUACGUUCUGCUAGAGUAGAACGUUGCCAGGC